rnacentral:rRNA from 1 species
GUUUAUCAAAAACAUGGCCUUUUGAUGAUAAUUUAAGGUCUAGCCUGCCCACUGAAUUUUAAAGGGCCGCGGUAAUUUGACCGUGCUAAGGUAGCAUAAUCAUUAGUUUUUUAAUUGAAAGCUGGUAUGAAUGGUUGGAUAAGAAAAUGACUGUCUCUGUUUAAUUUGUAUUGAAUUUUAUUUUUAAGUUAAAAAGCUUAAGUUUAUUUUAAAGACGAGAAGACCCUUUAGAGUUUUAUAAAUUAUUUUGUUAAUAUUUUGGGAAUUUAAUUUUAACAGAUAAAUUUUAUUUGGUUGGGGUGAUUGUAAAAUGUAAGAAACUUUUAUUUAUUUAAGACAUAGAUGAAUGAUUUUUUGAUCCAUGAUGAAUGAUUAUAAGAUAAAAUUACCUAAGGGAUAACAGCGUAAUUUUUUUUAAGAGUUCUAAUCGAAAAAAAAGUUUGCGACCUCGAUGUUGGAUUAAAAUUAAUUUUUGGUGUAGAAGCUAAGAAUUUUAGGUCUGUUCGACCUUUGAAAUUUUACAUGAUCUGAGUUC